rnacentral:miRNA from 1 species
CUAUAAAUUAUCUAGGGAUCCUAUUAAAAUACAGGUUUUGACUCAGUAGGUCAAGAGAGAGACCUAAGAGUCUGCACUUCUAACAAGCUCCCAGGUAAUGUUGAU